UUUCUGUAUCGUUUUGUUUGCAGAUUCUUUGAAUUGUCUGAUGAAAUUCAAAGAAAAUCUUCUCGGAUUGUUCUUCUCGUUGCUCGUCAACCAAAAUCCUCUACAUCGUAGCUCCGGAAUAGCCGGCCUGGUUGCCAUGACAGCCAGUGGAAUUCUGGUCGAAGAUGAGUUGGUGUCGUUCCUCGGUCAUUUGCUCGCUUUAAUGCUUCAAGAUGACGAGAAAAUCGUGAGGCAUGAAACUAAACUAGCAUUGGCUUAUCUUUCUUCCCGAUAUUCUUUCUUGGUUCGUCGUCAUGUCAUAGGAAAGCUUGUGGAUAGACUUUCUGCGAUAGACGAUUUGCCGAUCCCGAAUGGAAUGAACAAAGUCCACAUAAGCUCCUGUGUAUCCCACAAAGACCUUAUAGACACUUUGACCAUAUUUUGUACCGAACAAGAAAAUAUUGAAUGUAUUUUACCCUGUUUGGUUGACAAUCUUACAAAGUUGUGUAAAGAUGAAAACUCCGUUCAUGAAACAAGCAUCGGCUGGCUAAUUGAUUGUUUGAUUGGAAUUCUUGAAGAUUCUCUAAAGAAAUCAUUCAACGUUCUUGAUUAUUACAAAGACGUUGUCUUCCUUCGCGUGUUAAAACUUGCCGUCACAAAUUCACUGGCAAGUAUGUUCAUAUAGUGAUCGUCGUUUUGGCGAAUGCUGAUUAUAUUUGCUUGAGACUCCUUUGGUAUUUUUUCUUCAUAAGAUGAGAAAUUCGUUUUCGCUUUGACAGUACUUGAAACAUUUUCCAAAUUGCUGCGGAUAAUUUCGUCUAAGGUGUCUGAGCGUUGCUGUAAUGACAUAUCUCCAUUGUGUUUGAAGUUUUGGUAGAUGCAAAAUUUGAUAAAAUCGACGAAGCAUUUGAUCAUGAUGUGUUGAACAUGUUGGAUACAUCGUCGCCGUGGCAACGCACACAAUUAGUCAUUCUGCAACGUUCCCAAAAAGAUCGUGCAUCCUCGUACUCCAGAGUUGUAUUCACGCUUGCUUAACGUAACUGUGGAAUGUCGUCAUC